rnacentral:misc_RNA from 1 species
AAGUCGUAAAAGGUUUCCGUAGGUGAACCUGCGGAAGGAUCAUUAACACGUAUAAACCCCCCGUGAACCUUUAUUGCGAACCACGCCUUUGUUAAUCGCCGAACAGUUUUGAUUCAGUGGAUCUCUGCGAAGAGAGCGGUUGUACGAGGUAAGUGGCGGGGCAACAAGACUGUCUUGAAGUGUCACUAGCUCUGUACGGAUGGCGCAGGCACGAUCGCUGGAGGCCGACACGGCCGGUGAUCGGGCAUAGCCCCCUAUCACCCCUUGCAUGAAAACGGGCCUGCGCUUAAUUGUGCCUCGAACAACUGUUACCAAUGGAUAUCUUGGUUCUC